rnacentral:rRNA from 1 species
UGUAUAAUGGGUCAGCGACUUAUAUUCUGUAGCAAGGUUAACCGAAUAGGGGAGCCGAAGGGAAACCGAGUCUUAACUGGGCGUUAAGUUGCAGGGUAUAGACCCGAAACCCGGUGAUCUAGCCAUGGGCAGGUUGAAGGUUGGGUAACACUAACUGGAGGACCGAACCGACUAAUGUUGAAAAAUUAGCGGAUGACUUGUGGCUGGGGGUGAAAGGCCAAUCAAACCGGGAGAUAGCUGGUUCUCCCCGAAAGCUAUUUAGGUAGCGCCUCGUGAAUUCAUCUCCGGGGGUAGAGCACUGUUUCGGCAAGGGGGUCAUCCCGACUUACCAACCCGAUGCAAACUGCGAAUACCGGAGAAUGUUAUCACGGGAGACACACGGCGGGUGCUAACGUCCGUCGUGAAGAGGGAAACAACCCAGACCGCCAGCUAAGGUCCCAAAGUCAUGGUUAAGUGGGAAACGAUGUGGGAAGGCCCAGACAGCCAGGAUGUUGGCUUAGAAGCAGCCAUCAUUUAAAGAAAGCGUAAUAGCUCACUGGUCGAGUCGGCCUGCGC